rnacentral:rRNA from 1 species
AUACGUAGGGAGCGAGCGUUGUCCGGAUUUACUGGGUGUAAAGGGUGCGUAGGCGGGGCUGCAAGUCAGAAGUGAAAUACCGGGGCUUAAAUCCGGGGGUGCGUUUGAAACUGUAGAUCUUGAGGGAAGUAGAGGGAAGCGGAAUUUCUAGUGUAGCGGUGAAAAGCGUAGAUAUUAGGAGGAACACCAGUGGCGAAGGCGGCUUACUGGGCUUUAACUGACGCUGAGGCACGAAAGCGUGGGGAGCAAACAGGAUUAGAUACCCUGGUAGUCCACGCUGUAAACGAUGAUUGCUAGGUGUGGGGGGUCUGAUCCCCUCCGUGCCGGAGUUAACACAAUAAGCAAUCCACCUGGGGAGUACGACCGCAAGGUUGAAACUCAAAUGAAUUGACGGGG